CAUGCAGUCGAGCGGUAGAGAGAAGCUUGCUUCUCUUGAGAGCGGCGGACGGGUGAGUAAUGCCUAGGAAUCUGCCUGGUAGUGGGGGAUAACGUUCGGAAACGGACGCUAAUACCGCAUACGUCCUACGGGAGAAAGCAGGGGACCUUCGGGCCUUGCGCUAUCAGAUGAGCCUAGGUCGGAUUAUCUAGUUGGUGGGGUAAUGGCUCACCAAGGCGACGAUCCGUAACUGGUCUGAGAGGAUGAUCAGUCACACUGGAACUGAGACACGGUCCAGACUCCUACGGGAGGCAGCAGUGGGGAAUAUUGGACAAUGGGCGAAAGCCUGAUCCAGCCAUGCCGCGUGUGUGAAGAAGGUCUUCGGAUUGUAAAGCACUUUAAGUUGGGAGGAAGGGUUGUAGAUUAAUACUCUGCAAUUUUGACGUUACCGACAGAAUAAGCACCGGCUAACUCUGUGCCAGCAGCCGCGGUAAUACAGAGGGUGCAAGCGUUAAUCGGAAUUACUGGGCGUAAAGCGCGCGUAGGUGGUUUGUUAAGUUGGAUGUGAAAUCCCCGGGCUCAACCUGGGAACUGCAUUCAAAACUGACUGACUAGAGUAUGGUAGAGGGUGGUGGAAUUUCCUGUGUAGCGGUGAAAUGCGUAGAUAUAGGAAGGAACACCAGUGGCGAAGGCGACCACCUGGACUAAUACUGACACUGAGGUG
rnacentral:rRNA from 1 species